GGUGUGUAUGUGUGUGUGUGUGUGUGUGUGUGUGUGUGUGGUGUGUGUGUGUGUGUGUGUGCCUGGGGAAUCAUGGUGUGGACAGAUGGUAUGGCCUUCUGGCUUCCCGCACAACUGUACCAAUUUCAAUGGGGCUCUCAGCGAAGCAAGCUGACUAGAGGAAGGACAUCAGGGAUGCUUUUAUUUUCCUCUGGUGAAACGGGUG